rnacentral:rRNA from 1 species
GAUGAACGCUGGCGGCGUGCCUAAUACAUGCAAGUCGAGCGAACAGAUGAGGAGCUUGCUCCUCUGACGUUAGCGGCGGACGGGUGAGUAACACGUGGAUAACCUACCUAUAAGACUGGGAUAACUUCGGGAAACCGGAGCUAAUACCGGAUAAUAUAUUGAACCGCAUGGUUCAAUAGUGAAAGACGGUUUUGCUGUCACUUAUAGAUGGAUCCGCGCCGCAUUAGCUAGUUGGUAAGGUAACGGCUUACCAAGGCAACGAUGCGUAGCCGACCUGAGAGGGUGAACGGCCACACUGGAACUGAGACACGGUCCAGACUCCUACGGGAGGCAGCGGUAGGGAAUCUUCCGCAAUGGGCGAAAGCCUGACGGAGCAACGCCGCGUGAGUGAUGAAGGUCUUCGGAUCGUAAAACUCUGUUAUUAGGGAAGAACAAAUGUGUAAGUAACUAUGCACGUCUUGACGGUACCUAAUCAGAAAGCCACGGCUAACUACGUG